AUUGAACGCUGGCGGCAUGCCUUACACAUGCAAGUCGAACGGUAACAGGUCUUCGGAUGCUGACGAGUGGCGAACGGGUGAGUAAUACAUCGGAACGUGCCCGAGAGGGGGGGAUAACGAGGCGAAAGCUUUGCUAAUACCGCAUACGAUCUCAGGAUGAAAGCAGGGGACCGCAAGGCCUUGCGCUCACGGAGCGGCCGAUGGCAGAUUAGGUAGUUGGUGGGAUAAAAGCUUACCAAGCCGACGAUCUGUAGCUGGUCUGAGAGGACGACCAGCCACACUGGGACUGAGACACGGCCCAGACUCCUACGAGAGGCAGCAGUGGGGAAUUUUGGACAAUGGGCGCAAGCCUGAUCCAGCCAUGCCGCGUGCAGGAUGAAGGCCUUCGGGUUGUAAACUGCUUUUGUACGGAACGAAAAGACUCUGGUUAAUACCUGGGGUCCAUGACGGUACCGUAAGAAUAAGCACCGGCUAACUACGUGCCAGCCGCCGCGGUAACAC
rnacentral:rRNA from 1 species